UGGCGAGUGGCGAACGGGUGAGUAAUACAUCGGAACGUACCCAGAAGUGGGGGAUAACGUAGCGAAAGUUACGCUUAAUACCGCAUACGUUCUACGGAAGAAAGUGGGGGAUCGCAAGACCUCAUGCUUUUGGAGCGGCCGAUGUCUGAUUAGCUAGUUGGUGAGGUAAAGGCUCACCAAGGCGACGAUCAGUAGCUGGUCUGAGAGGACGACCAGCCACACUGGAACUGAGACACGGUCCAGACUCCUACGGGAGGCAGCAGUGGGGAAUUUUGGACAAUGGGCGCAAGCCUGAUCCAGCAAUGCCGCGUGAGUGAAGAAGGCCUUCGGGUUGUAAAGCUCUUUUGUCAGGGAAGAAACGGCAGUGGCUAAUAUCCUUUGCUAAGACGGUACGUGAAGAAUAGCACCGGCUAGAUACGU
rnacentral:rRNA from 1 species